rnacentral:rRNA from 1 species
CCCUUAGAUGUUCUGGGCUGCACGCGCGCUACACUGAAGCUAUCAACACGUUUUCCCUCCCUGAGAAGGGCGGGUAACCUUUUGAAUCAGCUUCGUGGUAGGGAUCGGGGCUUGCAAUUGUUCCCCGUGAACAAGGAAUUCCUAGUAGACGCGAGUCAUAAGCUCGCAUCGAUUAAGUCCCUGCCCUUUGUACACACCGCCCGUCGCUACUACCGAUUGAACGUUUUAGUGAGGCAUUUGGACCGACGCAUCUCAGUUUAACCGCUGGUUUGUGUUGGAAAGACUUCCAAACUUGAGCGUUUAGAGGAAGUAAAAGUCGUAACA